UUCAAGUUCACUUACUAAUGUCUCACUUUCUUUACACGCUGCUUCUGUCUCAUACUGCUGCUCAGAUGAUUCACGGUUCAGAUAGGAAAGAGCCUGACUGCUGAAGUUGGAGCAUACUGCUAAGAGAGAGGAGACUUUGCUAUUUCACAGACACAGACUCCUUUUGCCCACACAAAGAUGUUGAAUAAAACUCAGGAAAUUGGUUAGUUUGCUAUUGACAUUCAUAAAAGAAGUAAGACUUACAGGUCGAGUUGCACUUCGAGCAAAUUGCAAUAUUCCAUGACAGUUCCUAGCAUAUACUGUCUCUCACAACAACUACCUCUGUGGGAAAAGGUUUGAACUAGAGUACAAAGGGACUAUGAGUCAGAACUAAGCAGAAAUAUUGUGUUUGUCUGGGAUAGAGUUAAUUUUCUUCAUAGUAGCUCAUAUGGUGCUAUGAUUUGGAUUUGUGUUGAAAGGAGUGUUAAUAACACACCAAUGUUCUUUUAGUUUUUGCUGAGCAGUGCUUGCACAGCAUCAAGACCUUUUCUGUUUCUCACAAUGCCCAGCCAGUGUGUAGUCUGGGGAUGCACAAGAAGCUGGGAGGGGACACAGGUAGGACAGAUGCCCCCAACUGACCAAUACGGCGUUUCACAUAUGAUGCUGUGCUCAGCAAUCGGAUGAAGAAAUAGUGAAUGAAAUCAGAUGUGAAGUAGUGAAUGAACUCCUUAUUUUGCUUUGCUUGUACACACAGCUUUUGCUUUACAAUAUUAAACUGUCUUUAUCUCAACUCUGGAGUUCUCGCACUUUUACCCUCUUGAUUCUCUUCCCCAUUCCACUAGGUGAGAGUGAGCAAGUGGCUGUGUGGUGCUUAGCUGCUUACCAGUGUUAACCCACAACACUAGAGUAAAACGCCUUUAAAAAAAUCUACUCCUCUCUCCUCUUGAAAAACAAAAACAA